GGAGGUGUGGCCGAGCGGUUUAAGGCACCGGUCUUGAAAACCGGCAAGGGUUCACGCCCUUCGUGAGUUCGAAUCUCACCGCCUCCGCCA
rnacentral:tRNA from 1 species